AGCGAACGCUGGCGGCAAGCUUAACACAUACAAGUCGAACGCCCAGCAAUGGGAGUGGCGGACGGGUGUAUAACACGUGGGAAUCUACCUUUCAGUACGGAAUAACUCAGGGAAACUUGUGCUAAUACCGUAUAAUGUCUCCGGACCAAAGAUUUAUCGCGGAAAGAUGAGCCCGCGGCAGAUUAGCUAGUUGGUGGGGUAAUGGCCUACCAAGGCAACGAUCUGUAGCUGGUCUGAGAGGAUGAUCAGCCACACUGGGACUGAGACACGGCCCAGACUCCUACGGGAGGCAGCAGUGGGGAAUAUUGGACAAUGGGCGCAAGCCUGAUCCAGCUAUGCCGCGUGAAUGAUGAAGGCCUUCGGGUUGUAAAGUUCUUUUAGGUGGGAAGAUUAUGACGGUACCACCAGAAAAAGCUCCGGCUAACUUCGUGCCAGCCGCCGCGGUAA
rnacentral:rRNA from 1 species